rnacentral:lncRNA from 1 species
ACUGCCGGAGUUGGUGACGGCGAACGGGAGGAAAAUAGGAAGGAAAGAUCAAUGCAAACAGCAGACCUGAAGACUGGUGGCGUUGGGCUGUGGAUUGGUUUUAGGACGUUGGCCAUCCGGUGAUCAGAUAUGAAGGUAGCAUCGGAGAGGGGAAAGAGAAUAGCAGCGCGGGGAAGGGAGAAAAGGGAGCGGCACCGGUGGCAAUGGUUGGCAUCGGCGAGGAAAGGGGAAAGGGAAGAAGAGGUGACGCCGGUUAGAUCUGGUAACGGAUAGUCGCCGGUUCUGCGACUGUGUUAGUGUUGUGAGGAUGGGGUCGGUCGGAGAAUGGCGCCAGAGAGGGGAGAUGGAGGGAUGGCGCCGACAGUUUCUCCUAUUCACCGGCGAUUCCAGCGAUG